GACCGCGUAGCUCAGUUGGCAGAGCAUUGGGCUAGUAUUCCAAAGGUCGUAGGUUCGAUUCCCAUUGUGGUCA
rnacentral:tRNA from 1 species